GACAGAGGCCUCAAGCGUUAGGCGGAAUCACUGGGCUUAAAGCGUGUGUAGGCGGAUCGUUAAGUGCCUUGUGAAAUCCCACGGCUUAACUGUGGAACGGCUGGGCAUACUGGCGGUCUUGAGCCAUCUAGGGGCGACUGGAACAAACGGUGGAGCGGUGAAAUGCGUAGAGAUCCGGCGGAACACCGGUGGUGAAGGCGGUCUCCUGGGCCGAGGGCCGACGCUGAGGCGCGAGAGCGUGGGGAGCGAACCGG
rnacentral:rRNA from 1 species